UCACCACCAGCAGACAUAUCCCUCAGGGUGACUGCUAUGCUGUCCUAGGGCACUUUUGCAGCACAACCCUGUUCCUCUGAUGUGUAUUUCGUCUGUCUCAGCUCUGUGCCAGAGGGAUCAGGCCUAUGGAAGCUGUGGAAAAUACUGCACCAGCACAACAGAUUUUCUCUGACUUCUCCAAAGUACAUGAAAUCUUCACAUCUGACAGCACCUCUAAGAAUGAACAUUUAAAAGUGUAAAAGUUACUUUUCCUCUUUUCUCUAGAAAGUUGUGCUCUGGUACUUUAAAAAUAGAGAGAACCAAAACACAUGCCUUGAUUUCAUUUGAACUUGCCAACAACUGUCAGUGAAAACAUUAAGAUCUACUGUGGGAAGUUGCUUUGAUACACAGGAGCACAUUUUCAACAGCAAACAUUACAUGCCCAAGCUGGGUUAUCUAUCCAGUGUCCCUUGGUUCCCGGUGCAUCUGGAAGAGGAUGUACAAGGAUGAUGGAGCAAGGAAAUACAGGAUUGUUAACAGAUCUGAACCAGGUAAUUCAUUCGUUAAAAGGCAAGGGACCUAAACACACCAGACUGUUAUCCUGCACUGACUGCAUGGAUCAGGCUACAAAUACGUGUUGAAGAAAUGAGARACUAUGAAAAUCCUGACAACACUA